rnacentral:rRNA from 1 species
UGGGGAAUUUUCCGCAAUGGGCGAAAGCCUGACGGAGCAAUACCGCGUGAGGGAGGAAGGCUCUUGGGUUGUAAACCUCUUUUCUCAGGGAAGAACACAAUGACGGUACCUGAGGAAUCAGCAUCGGCUAACUCCGUGCCAGCAGCCGCGGUAAUACGGAGGAUGCAAGCGUUAUCCGGAAUGAUUGGGCGUAAAGCGUCCGCAGGUGGUGAUGUAAGUCUGCUGUCAAAGCGUCUAGCUCAACUAGAUACAGGCAGUGGAAACUACAUGACUAGAGUGCGUUCGGGGCAGAGGGAAUUCCUGGUGUAGCGGUGAAAUGCGUAGAUAUCAGGAAGAACACCGGUGGCGAAAGCGCUCUGCUAGGCCGCAACUGACACUGAGGGACGAAAGCUAGGGGAGCGAAUGGGAUUAGAUACCCCAGUAGUCCUAGCCGUAAACGAUGGAUACUAGGCGUGGCUUGUAUCGACCCGAGCCGUGCCGUA